AAUCAACGCUGGCGGCGUGCCUCAGACAUGCAAGUCGAACGCGAAAGUUCCCUUCGGGGGAUAAGUAGAGUGGCGUCCGGGUGAGUAACACGUAGGUAAUCUACCUUUGGGUGGGGAAUAACAACCGGAAACGGUUGCUAAUACCGCAUAAUGCAGCGGCACCACAUGGUGACAGUUGUUAAAGCGGGGGGAUCGCAAGACCUCGCGCCUAAAGAGGAGCCUGCGGCGGAUUAGCUAGUUGGAGGGUAACGGCCUACCAAGGCAACGAUCCGUAGCCGGCCUGAGAGGGCGGUCGGCCACACUGGAACUGAGACACGGUCCAGACUCCUACGGGAGGCAGCAGUGGGGAAUUUUUGGCAAUGGGCGAAAGCCUGACCAAGCAACGCCGCGUGGAUGAUGAAGUAUCUCGGUACGUAAAAUCCUUUCGACA
rnacentral:rRNA from 1 species